rnacentral:rRNA from 1 species
CCUACGGGAGGCAGCAGUAAGGAAUAUUGGACAAUGGCCGCAAGGCUGAUCCAGCCAUGCCGCGUGCAGGAUGACGGUGCUCUGCAUUGUAAACUGCUUUUGUUCGGGAAUAAACCUCUUCACGUGUGAGGAGUUGAAUGUACCGAAAGAAUAAGGGACGGCUAACUUCGUGCCAGCAGCCGCGGUAAUACGAAGGUCCCAAGCGUUAUCCGGAUUUAUUGGGUUUAAAGGGUGCGUAGGCGGGUUAUUAAGUCAGUGGUGAAAGCUCCCAGCUCAACUGGGAAACUGCCAUUGAUACUGAUAGUCUUGAGUAUGAUUGAAGUGGGCGGAAUGUGUCAUGUAGCGGUGAAAUGCUUAGAUAUGACACAGAACACCGAUUGCGAAGGCAGCUCACUAAGCCAUAACUGACGCUGAUGCACGAAAGCGUGGGGAGCAAACAGGAUUAGAUACCCUGGUAGUCCACGCCCUAAACGAUGAUCACUCGAUGUGUGCGAUAAACUGUACGCGUCCAAGCGAAAGCAUUAAGUGAUCCCNCCGNGGAGACGACGCGAGUAGAACGACGAAGAAGUAGAGGCGNGAGAGNGCGACGGCGACACGAGGGAGGAGG